AGCGAACGCUGGCGGCGUGCCUAACACAUGCAAGUCGAACGUGAAAGGGAGCAAUCCUGAGUAAAGUGGCGUACGGGUGAGUAACGCGUAGGUAAUCUACCCCAGAGUCUGGAAUAACCUGCCGAAAGGCGGGCUAAUACUGGAUAGAGCGACGGAAUCCGUAAUUGGGUUUUUCGGGAAAGGGAGGAAGCAAUUCCCUUUGCUCUGGGAUGAGCCUGCGUCUCAUUAGCUAGUUGGUGGGGUAACGGCCUACCAAGGCAAUGAUGGGUAGCUGGUCUGAGAGGAUGAUCAGCCACACUGGAACUGAAACACGGUCCAGACUCCUACGGGAGGCAGCAGUGGGGAAUCUUGCGCAAUGGACGAAAGUCUGACGCAGCCACGCCGCGUGAGUGAAGAAGGCCUUCGGGUUGUAAAGCUCUGUCGAGCGGGACGAAAAAUUUUUAGGUGAAUAGCCUAGAGAUCUGACGGUACCGCUAAAGGAAGCACCGGCUAACUCCGUGCCAGCCGCCGCC
rnacentral:rRNA from 1 species